UGCCUCCCGUAGGAGACUCCUACGGGAGGCAGCAGUAGGGAAUCUUGCGCAAUGGGCGAAAGCCUGACGCAGCCAUGCCGCGUGAAUGAUGAAGGUCUUAGGAUUGUAAAAUUCUUUCACCGGGGAAGAUAAUGACGGUACCCGGAGAAGAAGCCCCGGCUAACUUCGUGCCAGCAGCCGCGGUAAUACGAAGGGGGCUAGCGUUGCUCGGAAUUACUGGGCGUAAAGGGCGCGUAGGCGGACAGUUUAGUCAGAGGUGAAAGCCCAGGGCUCAACCUUGGAAUUGCCUUUGAUACUGGCUGUCUUGAGUUCGGGAGAGGUGAGUGGAAUGCCGAGUGUAGAGGUGAAAUUCGUAGAUAUUCGGCGGAACACCAGUGGCGAAGGCGACUCACUGGCCCGAUACUGACGCUGAGGCGCGAAAGCGUGGGGAGCAAACAGGAUUAGAUACCCUGGUAGUCCACGCUGUAAACGAUGAGUGCUAGUUGUCGGCAUGCAUGCAUGUCGGUGACGCAGCUAACGCAUUAAGCACUCCGCCUGGGGAGUACGGUCGCAAGAUUAAAACUUAAAGGAAUUGACG
rnacentral:rRNA from 1 species